rnacentral:tRNA from 1 species
GACUUCGUAGCUCAGCUGGCAAAGCCUGCACGUACAAAUCGUAGGCUGCGUCCAUGCGUGGGUUCGAAUCCCACCGAGGCUG